GAUGAAGACGCAGCGAAAUGCGAUAAGUAAUGCGAAUUGCAGAAUUCAGUGAGUCAUCGAAUCUUUGAACGCACAUUGCGCCCUGUGGUAUUCCGCAGGGCAUGCCUGUUCGAGCGUCAUUUCAACCCUCAAGCUCUGCUUGGUGUUGGGCCCUGCCCGCUGCGGCCGGCCCUAAAGACAGUGGCGGUGCCGCCUGGCCCUGAGCGUAGUACAUCUCUCGCUCCAGUGCCCGGUGGUAGCCUGCCAGAACCCCAACUCUCGUGGUUGACCUCGGAUCAGGUAGGGAUACCCGCUGAACUUAAGCAUAUCAAUAAGCGGAGGA
rnacentral:misc_RNA from 1 species